GACGAACGCUGGCGGCGUGCCUAAUACAUGCAAGUAGAACGCACAGUUUAUACCGUAGCUUGCUACACCAUAGACUGUGAGUUGCGAACGGGUGAGUAACGCGUAGGUAACCUGCCUGGUAGCGGGGGAUAACUAUUGGAAACGAUAGCUAAUACCGCAUAAUAUUAAUUAUUGCAUGAUAAUUAAUUGAAAGGUGCAAUUGCACCACUACCAGAUGGACCUGCGUUGUAUUAGCUAGUAGGUGAGGUAACGGCUCACCUAGGCGACGAUACAUAGCCGACCUGAGAGGGUGAUCGGCCACACUGGGACUGAGACACGGCCCAGACUCCUACGGGAGGCAGCAGUAGGGAAUCUUCGGAAAUGGACGAAAGUCUGACCGAGCAACGCCGCGUGAGUGAAGAAGGGUUUCGGAUCGUAAAGCUCUGUUGUAAGAGAAGAACGGGUGUGAGAGUGGAAAGUUCACACUGUGACGGUAUCUUACCAGAAAGGGACGGCUAACUACGUG
rnacentral:rRNA from 1 species